rnacentral:lncRNA from 1 species
AUGAGCUUUAAAAAAUGCAAACAUUAGAGAGAGGAGGGAUUCACAAAUUACGGCGAAUUGAACCUGCAUUCUCCUACCGUCGGGGCCCCGAUGUGGCCAUUGCGCCACUGCGGCAGGUGGGCGAGUGUCCGAGUGUUCGCUAUUUGGGUGGAGCGGGGGAUUCCCGAGGUUUCAAAGGCGAUUUUCUCGAGGACGCUGGAGUGGUGGCCCCCAAUGUGGGGGUGAUUCUUCGUCUGCUCUUUGUGCUCUUUCGGAUGGCAGGGUGUCGGCGGGGUCCCAGACGCAUCGGGUGUGAUGUUCCCUUGUAAGACGAACUCGCAU